rnacentral:rRNA from 1 species
UUCUCNUCUCUCCACCUGUGCACCUCUUGUAGACUUGGGAUAGAAUUCUCCGCAGGCAACUCGGUCUGGAGGAAUGCUGCCCAAAGCUUUCUUUGUAUUUCCUGGUCUACGUUUUUCAUAUACCCCUUAGCAUGUAACAGAAUGUAUCAUUUGGGCCCUUGUGCCUAUAAACCUUAUACAACUUUCAGCAACGGAUCUCUUGGCUCUCGCAUCGAUGAAGAACGCAGCGAAAUGCGAUAAGUAAUGUGAAUUGCAGAAUUCAGUGAAUCAUCGAAUCUUUGAACGCACCUUGCGCUCCUUGGUAUUCCGAGGAGCAUGCCUGUUUGAGUGUCAUUAAAUUCUCAACCUUAUCAGUUUAUUUCUGAUAGUGGCUUGGAUGUGGGGGUUUUCUUGCUGGCUGAGGUCAGCUCCCCUUAAAUGCAUUAGCUGGUGCCCCGUGUGGACUGUCUAUUGGUGUGAUAAUUAUCUACGCCAUGGAUAGCACUGCUUCUAACCGUCUGUUAAUUCGGACAAUACAUGACAAUUUGACCUCAAAUCAGGUAGGACUACCCGCUGAAC